GCCUACGUGGUGUAGUGGUCAGCACGCUGGAUGUGUAUUCCAGAGGGCUGUGGUUCGAGGCCCUGUGAAGGUG
rnacentral:tRNA from 1 species